GGGCCCGCACAAGCAGUGGAGUAUGUGGUUUAAUUCGAAGCAACGCGAAGAACCUUACCAGGGCUUGACAUCCCUUGAACGCCGUAGAGAUAUGGUUUCCCUUCGGGGCAAGGAGACAGGUGGUGCAUGGUUGUCGUCAGCUCGUGUCGUGAGAUGUUGGGUUAAGUCCCGCAACGAGCGCAACCCCUGUUGUUAGUUGCCAGCAUUAAGUUGGGCACUCUAGCAAGACUGCCGGUGACAAAUCGGAGGAAGGUGGGGACGACGUCAAAUCAUCAUGCCCCUUAUGUCCUGGGCUACACACGUACUACAAUGGCUAUUACAGCAGGAAGCGAAGGAGUAAUCCGGAGCAAAUCCUCAAAAAUAGUCCCAGUUCAGAUUGUGGGCUGAAACUCGCCCACAUGAAGUCGGAAUUGCUAGUAAUGGCAGGUCAGCAUACUGCCGUGAAUACGUUCCCGGGCCUU
rnacentral:rRNA from 1 species